GACGAACGCUGGCGGCGUGCUUAACACAUGCAAGUCGAACGGAAAGGCCCUGCUUUUGUGGGGUGCUCGAGUGGCGAACGGGUGAGUAACACGUGAGUAACCUGCCCUUGACUUUGGGAUAACUUCAGGAAACUGGGGCUAAUACCGGAUAGGAGCUCCUGCUGCAUGGUGGUGGUUGGAAAGUUUCGGCGGUUGGGGAUGGACUCGCGGCUUAUCAGCUUGUUGGUGGGGUAGUGGCUUACCAAGGCUUUGACGGGUAGCCGGCCUGAGAGGGUGACCGGCCACAUUGGGACUGAGAUACGGCCCAGACGCCUACGGGAGGCAGCAGUGGGGAAUAUUGCGCAAUGGGCGGACGCCUGAUGCGGCAACGCCGCGUGCGGGAUGACGGCCUUCGGGUUGUAAACCGCUUUCGCCUGUGACGAAGCGUGAGUGACGGUAAUGGGUAAAGAAGCACCGGCUAACUACGUG
rnacentral:rRNA from 1 species